ACGGGAGGCAGCAGUGAGGAAUAUUGGUCAAUGGACGUAAGUCUGAACCAGCCAAGUAGCGUGAGGGAUGACGGCCAUAUGGUUGUAAACCUCUUUUGCGAGGGAAUAAAGUGCGUCACGUGUGGUGCAUUGCAUGUACCUUGCGAAUAAGGAUCGGCUAACUCCGUGCCAGCAGCCGCGGUAAUACGGAGGAUCCGAGCGUUAUCCGGAUUUAUUGGGUUUAAAGGGAGCGUAGGCGGGAAGUCAAGUCAGCUGUGAAAUGUAGUCGCUCAACGUCUGCACUGCAGUUGAAACUGGUUUUCUUGAGUGCGUAAGAGGCAGGUGGAAUUUGUCGUGUAGCGGUGAAAUGCUUAGAUAUGACGAAGAACUCCGAUUGCGAAGGCAGCCCGCUGGGCCGCAACUGACGCUGAAGCUCGAAGGUGCGGGUAUCAAACAGGAUUAGAUACCCUGGUA
rnacentral:rRNA from 1 species